UAGCUAUGAAAUACUGUCAAGAUCUCGUGGGUAAUAGGAGAGUGGGAGUCGUGUGCUGAAAGGCAAUUGCAGUGGAAGAGAAUGCAUGUAGUUGAAUAGCUGGGGAUUUCAAGAUUUUUUUUUUAUACUGUAGAACACAAAGAGAUGCGGUAGCUGUGCUCUCAUCCAUCUGUAAGAAGAAUUGCACUACUCAGCCUAUGGGAAUGUCUGCCAACUAGAAGCCGGUGAAAUUCACUGACCCCAAGUAAACUUUUUCUGACAGAGGAAAACAGGCAUGGUGCUUUCUGCUGCAGGAGGCUGCCUCACAAGUCCUUUCCCAGCCCAGAUAUGUAUUGAGUGUCAAGUUGGCCACUGACUAUUUACGCUUUUCUGCAGAAGAGCUUUGGGAUGUGCCUUGGCUGUUGAUUUUCAGUGGCAGAAGCUCAUGGCUUUCAGCUCUAACCUUCAGAAUUUGCUGCUAGUGGACAACAGCCUCAUCACAGUCAGCAAAUAUGCAGGAGCUAGAGCUCUUGCAAGGCACUGGUGAGGAUCAGAGCCUUGGAGGUAACUUCAUUCUCCAGCACACUCUGAUGCUGCCUGAUCUGUGAACAUCUGUGAUUCUCCAGAUUGUC
rnacentral:lncRNA from 1 species